UCCCCGAAAGGGCGAGCGUACCGCAAGGUGCGUGCGCAAAGUCACGGGUCCCCGCAUGGGACAGCCGGACCGCCGAA
rnacentral:ncRNA from 1 species